AGAGCAAGAAGACUUAGAAGUUGUACCUUUUGUAUCAGGGGGGCCCAAAAAUAUAAGCAGGCUUAUACCGAUUCUACUGGAUUUUCUUUGUUUGGGCUAAAAGUAGAAUUUAACGGCUAUAAAAAUAUAAGGGGUGAAAAGUGUUCGACGGUGGUGGUAUCUGGUUGUUUUAGUUAGUUAGAGGGGCUAGCCUUUAAGUCACUAAAAGUAGAAGUAGUAAAAAAAUCUAGGCUUUAGAUUAGCCAUGUUGUUAGAUUGUUUCAAGUAAUUUUUGUUGGUGUUGAGGAGAUAGAAUUAAACAGACAAUGCCGAAAAAAAAAAUUUUUCAAAGGUAAUGAGUUUAUUGAAUAAAGAGUGAAGUUAGAAAAUAACUCGCGCUAAGUUAGAAAGUUUAACAAAAACAUUUCUAUUUGUUGCAGGAAAAGUAAGGCCUGCCCGGUGUAAAGUAAACGGCUGCGGUAUUUUGACUGUGCUAAGGUAGCAUAAUCACUUGCUUUUUAAUUGAUAGCUGGAAUGAAAGGUUAAACUAGCUUAUUUGGUUUGUAAGGCUUAAAAAGAAAUUUAAGUCAAGGUUAUAAUUCUUUGAUUUGCUAGGGGACGAUAAGACCCUAAAAGCUUGACGAAAUGAGUAUUUUUUAGUAAUAAAGUUAAAUUUGGUUUGCUGGGGCGGUAUUAGUGUAUAAACCAUUAAGGUUUUGAGUGAUCCUUUAGAUAAAGAUAGAACGGUAAAGUUACUUUAGGGUUAACAGUGUAAUAUAUUUGGAGAGAUCUUAUCGAUAAAUAUGAUUACAACCUCGAUGUUGAAUUAAGAUAUCUAAGUGGGGCAGUAAACACAGAAGAUGGUUUGUUCAACC
rnacentral:rRNA from 1 species